GGGCCGGUGGCGCAACUGGCUAGCGCACCUCAAUGGCAUUGAGGGGGUUGAGAGUUCGAAUCUCUUCCGGUCCA
rnacentral:tRNA from 1 species